ACUCAAAGGAAUAGACGGGGGCCCGCACAAGCGGUGGAGCAUGUGGUUUAAUUCGAUGCAACGCGAAGAACCUUACCUGCCCUUGACAUCCAUAGGAUCCUGGGGAGAGCCUGGGAGUGCCGAGAGGAGCUGUGAGACAGGUGCUGCAUGGCUGUCGUCAGCUCGUGUCGUGAGAUGUUGGGUUAAGUCCCGUAACGAGCGCAACCCCUAUCCUGUGUUGCCAUCCCGCGAGGGGGAACUUGCAGGAGACUGCCGGUGACAAACCGGAGGAAGGUGGGGAUGACGUCAAGUCAUCAUGGCCUUUAUGGGCAGGGCUACACACGUGCUACAAUGGGGCGUACAGAGGGAAGCGAACCUGUGAGGGGGAGCGAAUCCUAGAAAACGCGUCGUAGUCCGGAUCGGAGUCUGCAACUCGACUCCGUGAAGUUGGAAUCGCUAGUAAUCGCGGAUCAGCAUGUCGCGGUGAAUACGUUCUCGGGCCUUGUACACACCGCCCGU
rnacentral:rRNA from 1 species